GCCCAAGUAUGAAGCCAAGAAAAAAACUCCAAAACCAAAAGAAGUUCUAACUUUUGAGAUGUGUUUGUUUUUGGAGCAUGAUGGGGGGUCUUUGAAAACCCAUACCCCCAAGAAGAAGAAAGUGAAAUUUCGAAUUUUUCAGAACAAGAAUGAGAAGGGGGCAAUGCUUGUGGAGGAUGUUCGAGCCAAGAGAAGUGUUUUGGUGGAGAUGGCACCCAAGAGUAGAAAAGCUUUCCAAUGGUUAGAGUGCUGUUUCCGACCUCCAUGAGUUUUUGAGGUAUCGUCGAGCUCUAGACGUUAAAUUAAGCACUUGUUGGGAGGUAACCCAACCGUUUUUGUUUUGUUUUUCUUUCUUUUAGUUUCGUUUUGUUUCUUUUUGUUUUAUUGUUUUGUUUGGGGUUUUAGUGCAGCGUUGAGCUUGGAAGAUGCGGGAACUUGCGCUUUGUUCAUACCACCACCAUGGAGCAUGUUUUUCUGUGAGUAGUGACACACAUAUCAUCACCCCUCCAAACUUAUUUUCGAACUUAUGUUCUGUAAUAAGUUUGGGGGAGGGGGGUGAGAGUAGAUAUGUGUAUCACUUUUAUCUUUUUGUUAGCUUU
rnacentral:lncRNA from 1 species